GAGAAGACAGCAGCUGUCAGUCGGUUUGCUACGCCCAAAGACAUUAAAGCAUUAUUCAGCUGCAAAGAGUAUUCGACAUUUCAACGGGAAGGAGUCCAAUUUUUGAAUCACUGUUGGGUGUACUUCUCGGUCUCAUCAAAUUGAGCGUUUCCCUGACAAAUAAGAUUCGCAGCUCUGGAAAAAAGUGUAAACCCACCCCUAAAUGUACAUAGUUUCGCGGCAGAGCAGACGGCGUGCAAUGUACUCUUUGUAGGUCAGUGAUGGGGCUGCUUGGGGCUGGGGUGUGGUAUGCAUGGGUAUGCCUGGUUCUGGUUGCAGACGACGUCGCCACCGCUUUCGUCAUGCGUCGCGUGCCAGGCGUUUUGCUUAAUGUGAUUAAAACAAAAGCGACAGACAGCCAACAAACAAGUAAAGUGCAGUCGGUGCUAAAGGAAAAAUCAAAGAAGCUAAAGUUUGUUGCACCCUUACGAAACGUUGGUUGGGUGGGGGCCAGAUCUAAAAUGUUUUGCAUGUUCCUUUGCACUCGGCGAAUCCUAACGGACAACUACAACUUGCAUUCAAAUGUAGGCGCAUAUAAUUGACUGGGUGCUAUUUGGUUAGAGGGCUAUAAGAUAAGGAACCCCAUUCUCUGGUUCCCUGGCUUGCAUUCCAUAAUUUAUGAUAUCUUAUACCGUUGCUGCUAGGCCAUAGAGAUAAGCUUAUAAAUAACUCUCCAAUUUACAAAUACAGCUGCUCUGCAUAUUGGUGUAUGUACAUGAAUAUGCGUACGAACAUGAGAAUGUGUGAAUGUAUGCAAAGAACGGGUUAAAUUUUACAAACAAACUUACCUUUAAGCGGGUUUCAGAUAUAAGUUGUUGCUGCUUUCUGAGUGAAAUUCUCGUUCGAUUCGAUUGUCGGUGAUUUGAUAUUAGUUAAUUCUUUUAUACAUAGAGGGAAGGGAAGUGGAGAAUACAGGCAGGUUCCAAAAGAGUUCCCAGAAGACGCGGGCUUCUCUUUCACGCAGGAAUUUUUAAUGUGUUUUGUGCAAACGGAUGAUCGCGAAUAAAUGCAAAGGUUUAGUGUAAAAGGAGCCGAAAAAAACUACAAUAAAUAACAAAUUUGACCACACUACACCAGAACUCUCACUCACAUCACGCACACAACCACAUAAAGAGCAAUACGCGCAUAGAUUUGUAUUAUUACUUCGUUUCCCGCUGCUUGUUUUCUUAGCACAUCUCACUAUGAUUGUUGCCUGGGAGAGGGACUAACGCUGCAACAUUUUUAUGAUCUGCGAAUCGAUGGAUUUUCGUUGCAAACUUCGAGAAGCAACAAAAUUUACUUGACUUAGCUGCUAGCGAUGGACUGUGGAAAAAUUUCACGAGCUUCCCUGUGAUAUUUCAGUAUCGAGUGCUAGAGCGAUCAGCUGUCGCGACUUAUCGAAGCACUGCCAACUCAAUUGAGGAAUAAAACAAAGUAAUCUUUAUAUUAUAUUUGUGUGGUGUGGGAGAUUUUCCCGUGGACGGCCGUUUUGAAGAUCGGCGGCGCCCUUUGCUGUGGCCCACUACUCCCCCCUGCCCCAGCCCCCAGACCACCCCAGAGAUGCUCUACACGGACUGUUUAUCAACAACUUCGGGCCCGAGUCGCUGGCAAUGAGCGUGUGAAGCUGCAGCUAGGAGAGUUUCAGUGUCCCAUCAACAAGUGAAGCACGCCGUCAAGCAUUCCCUUUUAAAGAAUUAAAAAAUUCAAUAGAGAACCUGCUGGACAUUGCAUUCGAGGUGCAACGCGACCGAGCUGCGGAUGAAGAUGGAGCGAAAAGACUCUGGACGAGUGUGUCAGGAUACCACCUUCCACAAUGCCUUCUACAAGGACACCAGACAGCUCGCCUACUUGCGUACCCAGCCGCGAGGAAAGUGAGGAGCUGAGUUAAAGGUUGAGCUGGCCAACGAUGUCUGCUGAAACAGUACCUUCAUAUUAAAUUAACGAAAUAGGAAAUACAAAGGCCUAUACUACGGCU